rnacentral:rRNA from 2 species
GGGUUGUGAGGUUAAGCGACUAAGCGUACACGGUGGAUGCCCUGGCAGUCAGAGGCGAUGAAGGACGUGCUAAUCUGCGAUAAGCGCCGGUAAGGUGAUAUGAACCGUUAUAACCGGCGAUUUCCGAAUGGGGAAACCCAGUGUGACUCGUCACACUAUCAUUAACUGAAUCCAUAGGUUAAUGAGGCGAACCGGGGGAACUGAAACAUCUAAGUACCCCGAGGAAAAGAAAUCAACCGAGAUUCCCCCAGUAGCGGCGAGCGAACGGGGAGGAGCCCAGAGCCUGAAUCAGCAUGUGUGUUAGUGGAAGCGUCUGGAAAGGCGCGCGAUACAGGGUGACAGCCCCGUACACAAAAGCGCAUAUGCUGUGAGCUCGAUGAGUAGGGCGGGACACGUGGUAUCCUGUCUGAAUAUGGGGGGACCAUCCUCCAAGGCUAAAUACUCCUGACUGACCGAUAGUGAACCAGUACCGUGAGGGAAAGGCGAAAAGAACCCCGGCGAGGGGAGUGAAAAAGAACCUGAAACCGUGUACGUACAAGCAGUGGGAGCCCCACCACUAAGCCAGUGGUGAAGUCCACAUACGCAUCCUUUGCUGAGGAUACGGUUAACGGAGCGAAAGCGACGUUCAACCGCAAAAAAAGAAGCAGAGGGGGCUUAGUGGUGGGGUGACUGCGUACCUUUUGUAUAAUGGGUCAGCGACUUAUAUUCUGUAGCAAGGUUAACCGAAUAGGGGAGCCGGAGGGAAACCGAGUCUUAAUUGGGCGUUAAGUUGCAGGGUAUAGACCCGAAACCCGGUGAUCUAGCCAUGGGCAGGUUGAAGGUUGGGUAACACUAACUGGAGGACCGAACCGACUAAUGUUGAAAAAUUAGCGGAUGACCUGUGGCUGGGGGUGAAAGGCCAAUCAAACCGGGAGAUAGCUGGUUCUCCCCGAAAGCUAUUUAGGUAGCGCCUCGUGAAUUCAUCUCCGGGGGUAGAGCACUGUUUCGGCUAGGGGGCCAUCCCGGCUUACCAACCCGAUGCAAACUGCGAAUACCGGAGAAUGUUAUCACGGGAGACACACGGCGGGUGCUAACGUCCGUCGUGAAGAGGGAAACAACCCAGACCGCCAGCUAAGGUCCCAAAGUCAUGGUUAAGUGGGAAACGAUGUGGGAAGGCCCAGACAGCCAGGAUGUUGGCUUAGAAGCAGCCAUCAUUUAAAGAAAGCGUAAUAGCUCACUGGUCGAGUCGGCCUGCGCGGAAGAUGUAACGGGGCUAAACCAUGCACCGAAGCUGCGGCAGCGACGCUGAUGCGUUGUUGGGUAGGGGAGCGUUCUGUAAGCCUGCGAAGGUGUGUCGUGAGGCAUGCUGGAGGUAUCAGAAGUGCGAAUGCUGACAUAAGUAACGAUAAAGCGGGUGAAAAGCCCGCUCGCCGGAAGACCAAGGGUUCCUGUCCAACGUUAAUCGGGGCAGGGUGAGUCGACCCCUAAGGCGAGGCCGAAAGGCGUAGUCGAUGGGAAACGGGUUAAUAUUCCCGUACUUGGUGUUACUGCGAAGGGGGGACGGAGAAGGCUAUGUUGGCCGGGCGACGGUUGUCCCGGUUUAAGCGUGUAGGUGUGUGUUCCAGGUAAAUCCGGUUCACUUUAACACUGAGGCGUGAUGACGAGGCACUACGGUGCUGAAGCAACAAAUGCCCUGCUUCCAGGAAAAGCCUCUAAGCAUCAGGUAACAUCAAAUCGUACCCCAAACCGACACAGGUGGUCAGGUAGAGAAUACCAAGGCGCUUGAGAGAACUCGGGUGAAGGAACUAGGCAAAAUGGUGCCGUAACUUCGGGAGAAGGCACGCUGACACGUAGGUGAAGUGAUUUACUCAUGGAGCUGAAGUCAGUCGAAGAUACCAGCUGGCUGCAACUGUUUAUUAAAAACACAGCACUGUGCAAACACGAAAGUGGACGUAUACGGUGUGACGCCUGCCCGGUGCCGGAAGGUUAAUUGAUGGGGUCAGCGCAAGCGAAGCUCCUGAUCGAAGCCCCGGUAAACGGCGGCCGUAACUAUAACGGUCCUAAGGUAGCGAAAUUCCUUGUCGGGUAAGUUCCGACCUGCACGAAUGGCGUAAUGAUGGCCAGGCUGUCUCCACCCGAGACUCAGUGAAAUUGAACUCGCUGUGAAGAUGCAGUGUACCCGCGGCAAGACGGAAAGACCCCGUGAACCUUUACUAUAGCUUGACACUGAACAUUGAGCCUUGAUGUGUAGGAUAGGUGGGAGGCUUUGAAGUGUGGACGCCAGUCUGCAUGGAGCCGGCCUUGAAAUACCACCCUUUAAUGUUUGAUGUUCUAACGUGGACCCGUGAUCCGGGUUGCGGACAGUGUCUGGUGGGUAGUUUGACUGGGGCGGUCUCCUCCUAAAGAGUAACGGAGGAGCACGAAGGUUGGCUAAUCCUGGUCGGACAUCAGGAGGUUAGUGCAAUGGCAUAAGCCAGCUUGACUGCGAGCGUGACGGCGCGAGCAGGUGCGAAAGCAGGUCAUAGUGAUCCGGUGGUUCUGAAUGGAAGGGCCAUCGCUCAACGGAUAAAAGGUACUCCGGGGAUAACAGGCUGAUACCGCCCAAGAGUUCAUAUCGACGGCGGUGUUUGGCACCUCGAUGUCGGCUCAUCACAUCCUGGGGCUGAAGUAGGUCCCAAGGGUAUGGCUGUUCGCCAUUUAAAGUGGUACGCGAGCUGGGUUUAGAACGUCGUGAGACAGUUCGGUCCCUAUCUGCCGUGGGCGCUGGAGAACUGAGGGGGGCUGCUCCUAGUACGAGAGGACCGGAGUGGACGCAUCACUGGUGUUCGGGUUGUCAUGCCAAUGGCACUGCCCGGUAGCUAAAUGCGGAAGAGAUAAGUGCUGAAAGCAUCUAAGCACGAAACUUGCCCCGAGAUGAGUUCUCCCUGAGACUUAGAGUCUCCUGAAGGAACGUUGAAGACGACGACGUUGAUAGGCCGGGUGUGUAAGCGCAGCGAUGCGUUGAGCUAACCGGUACUAAUGAACCGUGAGGCUUAACCUUACAACGCCGAAG